CGAGAUCCAGGCCGGCAGCCGCCUGCUCUUUGUCAGUGGCCAGAUCGGCUGGAACGGCAAGUGUGAGUUCGAGACCGACGAUUUCGGCC
rnacentral:tRNA from 1 species